rnacentral:rRNA from 1 species
CAGCCGCCACGGGAAUACGAAGGGGGCUAGCGUUGCUCGGAAUGACUGGGCGUAAAGGGCGCGUAGGCGGCGGCCAAAGUCAGGCGUGAAAUUCCCGGGCUCAACCUGGGGGCUGCGUUUGAUACUUGGUUGCUUGAGUGGGGAAGAGGGUCGUGGAAUUCCCAGUGUAGAGGUGAAAUUCGUAGAUAUUGGGAAGAACACCGGUGGCGAAGGCGGCGGCCUGGUCCUUUACUGACGCUGAGGCGCGAAAGCGUGGGGAGCAAACAGGAUUAGAUACCCCGGUAGUCCCUGUCUCUUAUAA